GACGGAGGGUGCAAGCGUUGUUCGGAAUUACUGGGCGUAAAGCGUGCGCAGGCGGUGAUGUAAGACAGGUGUGAAAUCCCCGGGCUUAACCUGGGAACUGCAUUUGUGACUGCAUCGCUGGAGUGCGGCAGAGGGGAUGGAAUUCCGCGUGUAGCAGUGAAAUGCGUAGAUAUGCGGAGGAACACCGAUGGCGAAGGCAAUCCCCUGGGCCUGCACUGACGCUCAUGCACGAAAGCGUGGGGAGCAAACAGG
rnacentral:rRNA from 1 species